GACGAACGCUGGCGGCGUGCUUAACACAUGCAAGUCGAACGGAAAGGCCCUGCUUGCAGGGUACUCGAGUGGCGAACGGGUGAGUAACACGUGGGUGAUCUGCCCUGCACUUCGGGAUAAGCUUGGGAAACUGGGUCUAAUACCGGAUAGGAACCAUCUUUAGUGUGGUGGUUGGAAAGUUUUUUCGGUGUAGGAUGAGCUCGCGGCCUAUCAGCUUGUUGGUGGGGUAAUGGCCUACCAAGGCGGCGACGGGUAGCCGGCCUGAGAGGGUGUACGGCCAAAUGGGGACGGAGAAAGGGCCCAGACCCCUAGGGGAGGAAGCAGGGGGGAAAAUUGCACAAGGGGCGAAAGCCGGAGGGAGGGACGCCGGGGGGGGGAUGAAGGCCUUGGGGUUGAAAACCCCUUUCGCUAGGGAAGAAGCUUUGUUGGGAAGGGACUAAGAAAAGAAGCACCGGCUAAAUACGC
rnacentral:rRNA from 1 species